UACGGAGGAUGCAAGCGUUAUCCGGAUUUAUUGGGUUUAAAGGGUGCGUAGGCGGAUGAAUAAGUCAGUGGUGAAAGGCUGCAGCUUAACUGUAGACUUGCCGUUGAUACUGUUUAUCUUGAGUAUGGUCAAGGCAGGCGGAAUGUGUAAUGUAGCGGUGAAAUGCUUAGAUAUUACACAGAACACCGAUUGCGAAGGCAGCUUGCUGGGCCAUUACUGACGCUGAUGCACGAAAGCGUGGGGAGCGAACAGGAUUAGAUACCCUGGUAGUCCACGCCGUAAACUAUGAUCACUAGCUGUUGGCGAUACACAGUCAGCGGCAAAGCAAAAGCAUUAAGUGAUCCACCUGGGGAGUACGGCCGCAAGGCUGAA
rnacentral:rRNA from 1 species